ACGGAGACACCACUGUGCGCAGUAUGCACGUACGGUUUGGAGGUGAGCAUUUGGAACCUGAACCGACCCCUUCUCGCUCCCGAUUGGAUGGUAUGUUAUUUAGUCAUCCCAACCUUGUCACACCCACAUGUGAGCAGGUAAAAACAGACACAGAAAAAGGCACUUGACAAAAAAAGAGGAAAGAAAAAAGAAAGAGAAAGGGAAGAAAGAAUAAUAGAGCACACGACGGGUGUUCAUCAUCAUCAUCAUUUUCUUUUUUGCUUGAGCAUCUCGUGCCAGGAGGAGCUUGUACUUUACCUGGGGAUUGGCUGGCUAUGAGGUGUGCACGUAGGCUAUUAAAAGGAGAUUCUUCUUUUUUCAGUCAACAGCCACAAUCAGUCUCUCGCUCUCUUUAUACAUCAGCGCAGGGUGUCUGUACCGUAUCACUUCUAAAAGAGCCGCUGACGCAUCUCCUUUGCACCUUUGCGAGGCCUCCCGCCGUGCUUGGAUGCAUGCUAAUAUCACUGAAAACUUGUGUGGACCUUACUUUCUGCUCACCAAGAAGGCACUUAUUUCAUUCCUUCUAUCUCUACAUUUUCCUUUUCCCUCAGAGCUAUCGGCGAUAUUCCAGGUGUGUCAUCUUCAGCUUAUAAAGAGACAGCUCCUCAUCCAAAUAGGAAAAAGGGAAGAGAAGAAGUACAUACCCUCUCAGAGUAUUUACGAAUUAAAUGUACUUUUAUUUGAACAACUGGAUGAACGCGUGCUUUGGGAUUUUCAUUCUCUCAUAGCAAAGGACCCUCUCUGUAAAUGUCCACUUGGUGAAUAAAUUGUAGCUUCGAUCUUGUUCUUGUUUGACUAUCAGAUCGAUAAGCGUAGCUCACCUCUUGUUUUACCUGUAUUCGACGUGAUUCAUCAAGGGCGGGGCGCCCGCAGAAAACGUGAUCUUACCUUCGCUUUCGAAGUGUAUGAAUGUCAGCGACUUUGCUUACCUCAAAUCUCGACAAACACAACCUAACCAAAAUAGAUAUCUGGAGAAGGAAACUGGAAUAAGGCAAAAUUUCCGAGUUUCGUUCAAGGACGCUCGAUGCAUCCUCGAUUUUAUAAAGAGAUUUAUGAUUCAGAAAGAUUGUUAAGGUGAUUCCUUGAGUUGGCAGGAUACUUGACGAUUUUUGACAGUUCCUUUUCAUACAAGAGAUAUUCAUACUUCUGGAUCGUGAAUGAAGCAUCCUCGAAAUCGGAAGGCCAUCGCUCUUGAUGAGGAAGACGUUAGCUUUGUUUGACCCGCUUUAAGGGUAUCCAGGUGUGCUCUUCACUCAGCCUCGAGGGCCUAUUCACAAAGGUGUCAGCAAGCAUUAUCCCUCUUUUGUUUCCUGAAGGGGGUUCGCCUUCUCCACUAACACAAAAGCAAUUGGAACGUUUAAACACCGCGUGAAAGGGAACAAAGGUGCACCCCGACACAUAAACAGGGGUUAUGGUGUUUUCAAGAAAGGUACAGGUAUUGAUGACAUGAAAGGGUAGGGGUUUCAUAUCUUAUUGGUGUAUAGUAGGAGGCAUACAUGCACACAGUGUUUGACAGUUCUCUCGUAGAGAAUGAAUGACUGCUCGAUGCGGUGUCUUGUCUCUCUUGAUGGAACAUUGGAUUCUAUGAGGAAGAGAAAAAAAUAAUGAUACUUGCUUGAAGGAGAUAUCUCACCUGUAUCACUCAUCCUCUAUAUUCGUGGCUUUUCUGGCUAACUUUUCUGCUCUAGAUGCGCAAUCCACGAUCGAUGUCCUCCACUCUCAUCUAUUCCACAUUCUCUUCGUAUUUGAUGUGAAAAUUACCAGAGUGGAAAGCUUAGGGAUUAUUUUCAGAUGAAAUAUUCGGGAAUACAGCAAGGUUCUUUAGGCAUUGAAGCGAAGCGGUGUGAUGUUUCCUAUAUGGCGUAGUAUGCAUCAUCUCUCAUUCUCUGAAUGCAUAACUUGGCUGACAACAGACUUACAGCUGUGACCGAAUUAUGAAAACUGAAUUAUCUUUACUAGUGGACAAGUUUUCGAGCCAAACUUAUUAAACGGACUCACAGGGUGAUUUUAUCUGUCAAGUUUCGUGAAUAAAUCGGACCGACAUAAACCACACCGCAGGAUUGGACUGUUCAGAGAGGACGAUAACACUGCGAAAGUGAUUGUUUACCACAGCGAGAACUGAUCGCUCCAGCGUCGGCCACUGGACAGGGUCAACACCCGGCUCUACGAGGGGUGCCAAAAUGGCGACCGACUCCUCGCAGAUAUUCCGAUGUUUUUACACGGUUUUGGUCGUCUACUGCCUAGUUUUGGAUAAUUCCAAGUAUGUAUCAGCACAGAAUGUUCUUUGCCCAGAAGAAUGCUGGUGCUUAGGUUCCCUGGUAGACUGCAGUAAACGACAUUUGACGAGUCUUCCGACCGACUUGCCGACAUGGGUCACAAUGCUGGAGUUGCAGUCAAACCGUAUCGCCAGUAUCCCAGAUGGAACUUUUGACAGGUUAUCACAGCUAGAAGACUUGUAAGUA